UACGGAGGGUGCAAGCGUUAUCCGGAUUCACUGGGUUUAAAGGGUGCGUAGGAGGGCAGGUAAGUCAGUGGUGAAAUCCCCGAGCUUAACUUGGGAACUGCCGUUGAUACUAUCUGUCUUGAAUACCGUGGAGAUGAGCGGAAUAUGUCAUGUAGCGGUGAAAUGCUUAGAUAUGACAUAGAACACCAAUUGCGAAGGCAGCUCGUUACACGAAUAUUGACUCUGAGGCACGAAAGCGUGGGGAUCAAACAGG
rnacentral:rRNA from 1 species